CCAAACCAUUCUACAACUCUCUGAUUGUAUAUGUGACAGGUGGAACAGACCAUGGCCAUCCUCACUGCUGAGACUUGCAAGCUACUGUAAGGAGGGAGAGCUGCUCAGCAGAAUGCCAUUUGAGAUGACUGAAUGGCAUUCCUACAAUGGCAAGAGUUCUAAAAUCUGUGUGUGCGUACAAGCUUAGGAAGAAAUGUAAAAGAGCUACUUAGCAUUUGAAGGAGUGCUGCAAACAGUUAUUUCAAGCCUUUUGUUCUAAAAUAAAAUAAAAAGCCAAGGGAGG
rnacentral:lncRNA from 1 species